GCAGCUGGAACACAGGAGGGCUGUGGAAAAACUUAUUGAAGAGCGUCGCCAACAAUUCCUUGCAGACAAACAACGUGAACUAGAAGAGUGGCAGUUGCAGCAAAGGCGGCAAGGAUUUAUUAAUGCAAUUAUUGAAGAAGAAAGGCUAAAACUUCUUAAAGAGCAUGCUACAAACUUACUAGGCUAUCUCCCUAAAGGAGUAUUUAAAAAAGAGGAUGAUAUUGAUCUGCUUGGUGAAGAGUUCAGGAAAGUAUAUCAACAAAGGAGUGAAAUUUGUGAAGAGAAAUGAUAUCAUCAAAAUUGGGGACAUGGAUGAAAUUGGAAAUCAUCAUUCUCAGCAAACUAUCGCAAGAACAAAAAACCAAACACCGCAUAUUCUCACUCAUAGGUGGGAAUUGAAUAAUGAGAACACAUGGACACAGGAAGGGGAACAUCACACUCUGGAGACUGGAUUUUUUUAAAAAGCAAAGUCAACUAGAUGCUGCUAAUGAGAAGACACAAAGGAGUUACAAAUAAAAGAAUGGAAAAAGACAAGACAA
rnacentral:lncRNA from 10 species